GCACGUAUAGCGAAGUUGGUCAAACGCGGCAGACUUAAGAUCUGCUCCCUCGGGUUCCUGGGUUCGAGUCCCAGUGCGUGCA
rnacentral:tRNA from 1 species